rnacentral:lncRNA from 1 species
UGAGGAGUUAGUGAGUGGGUGAAGGCUAGGUGGGGACGCAUGUCCUCCUUUUCUUUCCUUUUUUUUGUCUGUUAUGAGAGAGGGUAAUGAUGAGAGGUGGGAUUUUGGUAUGUGAUGGGGGCAACGUGUAUAUCCCUCCCCAAAAGAAGAUGAUUUCUUUCUUUCUUUUAUCCUUUUCUUUCGUUCUUUCCUUUUAUUUUAUAUUUUGAGAGAGAGACUGUUGCUUAGUGUUGAGAGAGGUCACUUUAUUCUUUUUCUUUUUCUUUUUUCGUCCCAUUUCACCGUUAGAUGAGAGAGAUAAAUUUAUGGGAAUUGCCAGCCGUGUACCACCCUUUGAGAGGAUAAGAAAGCCACGUGGCAUCGGGCAAUUGGGUUGAAAGAGAUAUUUUGUAUAUUUUUUAUUUCAUUUGUUCUUUAUUAUUAGUAACUUGAUUAAUAAUUAAUUUUGAUUGGAAUCAAUAUAUUCA